AGCGAGGCUAGAGUCACACCUUGGCAUAGUUGUGUUGUCUUGGUGUGCUAGAGUGCUCGCAGAGUAAACGUCUGUAUUUAUUCGUUGGCUGGUAUCUGCAGUGACCUGGCCAAUCACAAUCUCAGACACACCA